AGAAUCAACGCUGGCGGCGUGCCUAACACAUGCAAGUCGAACGAGAAAGGGGCUUCGGCCCUGAGUAAAGUGGCGCACGGGUGAGUAACACGUGAAUCAUCUACCUUUGAGUGGGGAAUAGCUGAGGGAAACCUUAAUUAAUACCGCAUAAUACCUACGGGUCAAAGCCGAAAGGCGCUUAAAGAGGAGUUCGCGGCAGAUUAGUUAGUUGGCGGGGUAAUGGCCCACCAAGACGAUGAUCUGUAUCCGGCCUGGGAGGGCGCACGGACACACUGGAACUGAAACACGGUCCAGACUCCUACGGGAGGCAGCAGUGGGAAUUUUGCGCAAUGGGGGAAACCCUGACGCAGCAACGCCGCGUGGAGGAUGAAGUAUCUCGGUACGUAAACUCCUUUCGAUGGGGAAGAUAAUGACGGUACCCAUAGAAGAAGCCCCGGCUAACUUCGUGCCAGCAGCCGC
rnacentral:rRNA from 1 species